rnacentral:rRNA from 1 species
AGCGAACGCUGGCGGCAGGCCUAACACCUGUAAGUCUAACUAAGCCUUCGGUCUUAGUGGCGGACGGGUGAGUAACACGUGGGAACGUACCUUUUGGUUCGGAAUAACGCAGAGCAAUUUGCGCUAAUACCGAAUGAGCCCUUCGGGGGAAAGAUUUAUCGCCGAAAGAUCGGCCCGCGUUGGAUUAGGUAGUUGGUGUGGUAAAGGCGCACCAAGCCUACGAUCCAUAUCUGGUCUGAGAGGAUUAUCCGCCACACUGGGACUGAGACACGGCGCAGACGCCUCCGGGGGGCAGCAGUGAGGAAUCUUGCGCAAUGGGGGAAAGCCUGACGCAGCCGUGCGGCGUGAUUGAUAAAGGUCUUAGGAUUGUAAAAUUCUUUUACCAGGGACGAUAAUGACGGUACCUGGAGAAAAAGCCCCGGCUAACUUCGUGCCAGCAGCUGCCGUAAAAC